rnacentral:rRNA from 1 species
CUUGGGAAACUGGGUCGUAAUACGGAUAUGACCACAGCAUGCAUGUGUUGUGGUGGAAAGGAUUUAUCGGUGCAGGAUGGGCCCGCGGCCUAUCAGCUUGUUGUGGGGUAAUGGCUACCAAGGCGACGACGGGUAGCCGACCUGAGAGGGUGACCGGCCACACUGGGACUGAGACACGGCCCAGACUCCUACGGGAGGCAGCAGUGGGGAAUAUUGCACAAUGGGCGGAAGCCUGAUGCAGCGACGCCGCGUGAGGGACGAAGGCCUUCGGGUUGUAAACCUCUUUCAGCAGGGACGAAGCGUGAGUGACGGUACCUGCAGAAGAAGCACCGGCUAACUACGUG